rnacentral:rRNA from 1 species
UACGUAGGGUGCAAGCGUUAAUCGGAAUUACUGGGCGUAAAGCGUGCGCAGGCGGUUUUGUAAGUCUGUCGUGAAAUCCCCGGGUUCAACCUGGGAAUUGCGAUGGAGACUGCAAGGCUAGAAUCUGGCAGAGGGGGGUAGAAUUCCACGUGUAGCAGUGAAAUGCGUAGAGAUGUGGAGGAACACCGAUGGCGAAGGCAGCCCCCUGGGUCAAGAUUGACGCUCAUGCACGAAAGCGUGGGGAGCAAACAGG